AAACUAGGAUUAGAUACCCUAUUAUUUUUAUUAAAUUUAAAUUUAAUUAAAUAUUAAAUGUUUAAAGCAUUAAAAAUAAAAAAUUUGGCGGUAUUUAAUAUUUAGAGGAACUUGUUUAUUAAAUUGAUAAUCCACGAAUGGAAGGACUUAAUUUAAAGUAAUUUUAUGUAUUGUUGUUGAAAAAUUAUAUUAAUAGAUAAUUAUUAAUAAAUUUAAUAAAAAUUAUAAUUCAAAUCAAAAUGUAGAAUAAUUAAGAGGUUUAAUGAGUUACAAUUAAUUAAAUAUUUGAAUUUUAACAUAUAAUUUAAUUUAUAAAUGAAAAUGGAUUUAAAAGUAAAUUUAUAAAAAUUUAUAAAUGAAAUAAU
rnacentral:rRNA from 1 species